CCUACGGGAGGCAGCAGUGGGGAAUCUUGCGCAAUGGGGGAAACCCUGACGCAGCGACGCCGCGUGCGGGAGGACGGCCUUCGGGUUGUAAACCGCUGUUGCCCAGGACGAAUGGCCCUUUCGAGGGCAGUGACGGUACUGGGUGAGGAAGCACCGGCUAACUCCGUGCCAGCAGCCGCGGUAAUACGGAGGGUGCGAGCGUUGUCCGGAAUCACUGGGCGUAAAGGGCGCGUAGGCGGCCUGCGGCAGUCGGGGGUGAAAGUCCGGGGCUCAACCCUGGAUCGGCCUCACGAGACGCGUGGGCUUGGAGCACAGUAGAGGCGGGUGGAAUUCCGGGUGUAGCGGUGGAAUGCGUAGAGAUCCGGAAGAACACCGGUGGCGAAGGCGGCCCGCUGGGCUGUGGCUGACGCUGAGGCGCGACAGCGUGGGGAGCAAACAGG
rnacentral:rRNA from 1 species